rnacentral:misc_RNA from 1 species
UCAUCACCAAAGGAUGCAGUACUAGA